AAUAGAUACCCUGGUAGUCCACGCCGUAAACGAUGAGUGCUAAGUGUUAGGGGGUUUCCGCCCCUUAGUGCUGCAGCUAACGCAUUAAGCACUCCGCCUGGGGAGUACGGCCGCAAGGCUGAAACUCAAAGGAAUUGACGGGGGCCCGCACAAGCGGUGGAGCAUGUGGUUUAAUUCGAAGCAACGCGAAGAACCUUACCAGGUCUUGACAUCUCCUGACCGCCCUGGAGACAGGGUCUUCCCUUCGGGGACAGGAUGGACAGGUGGUGCAUGGUUGUCGUCAGCUCGUGUCGUGAGAUGUUGGGUUAAGUCCCGCAACGAGCGCAACCCUUGUCCUUAGUUGCCAGCAUUCAGUUGGGCACUCUAAGGAGACUGCCGGCUAAAAGUCGGAGGAAGGUGGGGAUGACGUCAAAUCAUCAUGCCCCUUAUGACCUGGGCUACACACGUGCUACAAUGGGCGGUACAGAGGGUCGCGAACCCGCGAGGGGAGCCAAUCCCAAAAAGCCGCUCUCAGUUCGGAUUGGAGG
rnacentral:rRNA from 1 species